ACUCCUACGGGAGGCAGCAGUAGGGAAUCUUCCACAAUGGGCGAAAGCCUGAUGGAGCAAUGCCGCGUGAGUGAAGAAGGUUUUCGGAUCGUAAAACUCUGUUGUUGAAGAAGAACAUGCGUGAGAGUAACUGUUCACGUACUGACGGUAUUCAACCAGAAAGCCACGGCUAACUACGUGCCAGCAGCCGCGGUAAUACGUAGGUGGCAAGCGUUGUCCGGAUUUAUUGGGCGUAAAGAGAAUGUAGGCGGUUUUAUUAAGUUUGAAGUGAAAGCCCUCGGCUCAACCGAGGAAGUGCUUCGAAAACUGGUAAACUUGAGUGCAGAAGAGGAAAGUGGAACUCCAUGUGUAGCGGUGGAAUGCGUAGAUAUAUGGAAGAACACCAGUGGCGAAGGCGGCUUUCUGGUCUGUAACUGACGCUGAGAUUCGAAAGCAUGGGUAGCAAACAGGAUUAGAUACCCU
rnacentral:rRNA from 1 species